AACGGGAGAGUUCUCUCCGUGGUACAGACUUCCUCUCUUCUCAUUGCUCCGCUUCUUGCUCCGCUCCUAUUCGACGAAAUCUCCAUGCGAGACCUGAAAGCAUCGUCCCCCGCGGCGGCGCCGAAUGGCCCGCCGUCGCGAGACCUGAAAGCAUCGUCCCCCGCGGCGCCGAAUAGCCCGCCGUCGCGAUACUCCAAGCUCUCCAACUUCCUCCGCUCCGACCCUAUCACCCAAUCCAACAGUGAGGACGAACUCCCCACCCCCACCGCCACCUCCGCCACCGCCAGCCCCGCCCACCUCUCCGACCAUAACCCCACC
rnacentral:lncRNA from 1 species